UACCUAUUGAUCACUUGGCUGUUUCCUUCGAAUCACCCGCUAGGGGACGUCAAGUGGGUCAAGUGGG
ensembl:miRNA gmo-mir-11282 gmo-mir-11282